UUGCAUGGAGCUCAGUGGUUAAGAGCACCGACUGCUCUUCAGGAAGACCUGGGUUCAAUUCCCAGCACCCACA
rnacentral:tRNA from 1 species